UACAGAGGUGGCAAGCGUUGUUCGGAAUUACUGGGCGUAAAGGGCGCGUAGGCGGUCUUGUAAGUCUUGUGUGAAAUCCCUCGGCUUAACUGAGGAACUGCACGGGAUACUGCGAGACUUGAGAUCGGAAGAGGGAAGCGGAAUUCCGGGUGUAGCGGUGAAAUGCGUAGAUAUCCGGAGGAACACCGGUGGCGAAGGCGGCUUCCUGGACCGACACUGACGCUGAGGCGCGAAAGCUAGGGGAGCAAACGGG
rnacentral:rRNA from 1 species